rnacentral:rRNA from 1 species
AACGAACGCUGGUGGCGUGCCUCAUACAUGCAAGUCGAGCGAGGCUUCGAGUCGAGCGGCGUACGGGUGAGUAUCGCGUGAGUAACCCUACCCUAUAGUUGGGAAUAACCCCCCUAACGGGGGACGUAAUACCGAAUAUUGAGUGGCACUGCAUAGUGCUUAGUCGAAAGGGCGCAAGCCCGCUAAAGGAUGGACUCGCGUCUGAUUAGCUAGUUGGAGGGGUAACGGCCCACCAAGGCGAUGAUCAGUAGCCGACCUGAGAGGGUGAUCGGCCACAAUGGGACUGAGAUACGGCCCAGACGUCCUACGGGAGGCAGCAGCUAAGAAUAUUCCGCAAUGGACGGAAGUCUGACCCAGCCAUGCCGCGUGAAGGAUGAAGGUCCUCUGGAUUGUAAACUUCUUUUAUUUGGGAAGAAAUCCAUGUAUUCUUAUGUGGUUGACGGUACCAGAUGAAUAAGCACCGGCUAACUCCGUGCCAGCAGCCGCGGUAAUCUCGU